CCCUUAGAUGUUCUGGGCUGCACGCGCGCUACACUGAUGAAUUCAACGAGCUCCUAACCUAGGCCGAAGGGUCCGGGUAAUCUUUGAAAUUUCAUCGUGAUGGGGAUAGAUUAUUGCAAUUAUUAAUCUUCAACGAGGAAUUCCUAGUAAGCGCGAGUCAUCAGCUCGCGUUGAUUACGUCCCUGCCCUUUGUACACACCGCCCGUCGCUCCUACCGAUUGAAUGGUCCGGUGAAAUGUUCGGACCGCGACAAGGCGGACGGUUCGCUGUCAGCUUUGCUGCGGGAAGUUCAUUAAACCUUAUCAUUUAGAGGAAGGAGAAGUCGUANCA
rnacentral:rRNA from 1 species